rnacentral:lncRNA from 1 species
UCUCUGACAACAAGAGAAGAGUCGAAUUGGGUUUCCAACAAGGUUCACCAGUGGUUAGAUCGGAAGAUGUGCAACUCAAUUUCGGUAGCGAAGGGUUCAUCCAUAGUAAUGAACAACACUUAGCUGUUGUGCUAGAAGAUGAUGAAGAUGAAUACUGCAUCAAUUUUGUGACGCAUGGAAAAGCUUACGACAAUUGGACUGCUGUUGAUAUUCCUG